rnacentral:rRNA from 1 species
GAUGAACGCUGGCGGCGUGCCUAAUACAUGCAAGUCGAGCGAACGGACGAGAAGCUUGCUUCUCUGAUGUUAGCGGCGGGCGGGUGAGUAACACGUGGAUAACCUACCUAUAAGACUGGGAUAACUUCGGGAAACCGGAGCUAAUACCGGAUAAUAUUUUGAACCGCAUGGUUCAAAAGUGAAAGACGGUCUUGCUGUCACUUAUAGAUGGAUCCGCGCUGCAUUAGCUAGUUGGUAAGGUAACGGCUUACCAAGGCAACGAUGCAUAGCCGACCUGAGAGGGUGAGCGGCCACACUGGAACUGAGACACGGUCCAGACUCCUACGGGAGGCAGCAGUAGGGAAUCUUCCGCAAUGGGCGAAAGCCUGACGGAGCAACGCCGCGUGAGUGAUGAAGGUCUUCGGAUCGUAAAACUCUGUUAUUAGGGAAGAACAUAUGUGUAAGUAACUGUGCACAUCUUGACGGUACCUAAUCAGAAAGCCACGGCUAACUACGUG